rnacentral:ncRNA from 1 species
AUAUUAGGAAACGAUGAAAUGCGCUUUUGUCUGGGCACUUUAGGCGCGUGGAGUUAGUGGUGCAACCGGCCGAGUA